rnacentral:rRNA from 1 species
AGCAGCAGCCGCGGUAAUGCGUAGGUGGCAAGCGUUGUCCGGAAUUAUUGGGCGUAAAGCGCGCGCAGGCGGAUAGGUCAGUCUGUCUUAAAAGUUCGGGGCUUAACCCCGUGAUGGGAUGGAAACUGCCAAUCUAGAGUAUCGGAGAGGAAAGUGGAAUUCCUAGUGUAGCGGUGAAAUGCGUAGAUAUUAGGAAGAACACCAGUGGCGAAGGCGACUUUCUGGACGAAAACUGACGCUGAGGCGCGAAAGCCAGGGGAGCGAACGGGAUUAGAUACCCCAGUAGUCCCUGUCUCUUAUACC